GACGAACGCUGGCGGCGUGCUUAACACAUGCAAGUCGAGCGGUAAGGCCCUUUCGGGGGUACACGAGCGGCGAACGGGUGAGUAACACGUGGGUGACCUGCCCUCAGCUCUGGGAUAAGCCUGGGAAACCGGGUCUAAUACCGGAUAUGACUCCAUGACGCAUGUUGUGGGGUGGAAAGCCUUGUGCGGCUGAGGAUGGGCCCGCGGCCUAUCAGCUUGUUGGUGGGGGAUGGCCUACCAAGGCGACGACGGGUAGCCGGCCUGAGAGGGCGACCGGCCACACUGGGACUGAGACACGGCCCAGACUCCUACGGGAGGCAGCAGCGGGGAAUCUUGCGCAAUGGGCGAAAGCCUGACGCAGCGACGCCGCGUGAGGGAUGACGGCCU
rnacentral:rRNA from 1 species